GGAAUGUAUAAUGCACAGCUGUUUCCAGUGAAUGGCUUCAGGAAACUAGCGACAACUUCUAGUAACAUUCUGACCUGACGUAAUGAAUUCACAUGUAUACGGGAUUCCAAGCUCCUUAACAGAAAAUAUGAAUCAGGACAAUUUAGAUUGAAUUUCCAUUGAAACAUGUCAGGAUUCAACGAAACUCUGUCUUUCAAAUCUUUGUCUUGAUUAAUAUCUCCCUGAGUGGAAAUGAUCAAAAGUAUCUAGUGGAAUUUUGCUGUGGUAUGAUACCAUUUCUCCUCUAUCCUCAUUGCUGAACUUCAUUGCCUUCCAUCUCACUUCAUCUCAUGUUCUAGGCAGGCAGGUUCUAUUUGUCCCAAUUCCCAAUGAAACGUCAAAAAUUCCAGACGAAGAGCAUUUUAGCUUGACUCGAUUGCCUAUGAGCGUAAUGACGAGAUUCAAUCAUGGGAUUGAAUCCUUGUAUGAAUCACGCACGCUAAGA